CAAAGGAGCAAUCCGCUGAAAGAUGGGCUCGCGUCCGAUUAGGUAGUUGGUGAGGUAACGGCCCACCAAGCCGACGAUCGGUAGCCGGACUGAGAGGUUGGACGGCCACAUUGGGACUGAGACACGGCCCAGACUCCUACGGGAGGCAGCAGUAAGGGAUAUUGGUCAAUGGGGGAAACCCUGAACCAGCAACGCCGCGUGAGGGAAGACGGUUUUCGGAUUGUAAACCUCUGUCCUCUGUGAAGAUGAUGACGGUAGCAGAGGAGGAAGCUCCGGCUAACUACGUGCCAGCAGCCGCGGUAAUACGUAGGGAGCGAGCGUUGUCCGGAUUUACUGGGUGUAAAGGGUGCGUAGGCGGCUGUGCAAGUCAGUAGUGAAAUCCAUGGGCUCAACCCAUGAACUGCUAUUGAAACUGCACAGCUUGAGUGAAGUAGAGGUAGGCGGAAUUCCCGGUGUAGCGGUGAAAUGCGUAGAGAUCGGGAGGAACACCAGUGGCGAAGGCGGCCUACUGGGCUUUAACUGACGCUGAGGCACGAAAGCGUGGGUAGCAAACAGGAUUAGAUACCCUGGUAGUCCACGCUGUAAACGAUGAUUACUAGGUGUGGGGGGACUGAACCCUUCC
rnacentral:rRNA from 1 species